AGAGAAAGCGGGGGGCAGGCCUAACACAUGCAAGUCGAACGAACCUUUCGGGGUUAGUGGCGGACGGGUGAGUAACACGUGGGAACGUGCCUUUAGGUUCGGAAUAACUCAGGGAAACUUGUGCUAAUACCGAAUGUGCCCUUCGGGGGAAAGAUUAAUCGCCUUUAGAGCGGCCCGCGUCUGAUUAGCUAGUUGGUUGAGGUAAUGGCUCACCAAGGCGACGAUCAGUAGCUGGUCUGAGAGGAUGAUCAGCCACAUUGGGACUGAGACACGGCCCAAACUCCUACGGGAGGCAGCAGUGGGGAAUCUUGCGCAAUGGGCGAAAGCCUGACGCAGCCAUGCCGCGUGAAUGAUGAAGGUCUUAGGAUUGUAAAAUUCUUUCACCGGGGACGAUAAUGACGGUACCCGGAGAAGAAGCCCCGGCUAACUUCGUG
rnacentral:rRNA from 1 species